rnacentral:precursor_RNA from 14 species
GGACAUGUUUUCCUUCUGAGAGACAGAUACUGUAAACAUCCUACACUCUCAGCUGUGGAAAUACAAAGCUGGGGGAAGGCUGUUUACUCUCUCUGCCUCUAACAGCAGCUGAAAGGAAGU